CAACUCGCCUGCAUGAAGUCGGAAUUGCUAGUAAUCGUAGGUCAGCAUACUACGGUGAAUACGUUCCCGGGCCUUGUACACACCGCCCGUCAAACCAUGAGAGUUGGCAACACCCGAAGUCGGUAGUCUAACCGCAAGGAGGACGCCGCCGAAGGUGGGGGUUGAUGAUUAGGGGUUAAGUCGUAACAAGGUAAC
rnacentral:rRNA from 1 species